UACGAAGGGGGCUAGCGUUGCUCGGAAUGACUGGGCGUAAAGGGCGCGUAGGCGGUUUGUACAGUCAGACGUGAAAUUCCUGGGCUUAACCUGGGGGCUGCGUUUGAUACGUGCAGACUUGAGUGAGGAAGAGGGUUGUGGAAUUCCCAGUGUAGAGGUGAAAUUCGUAGAUAUUGGGAAGAACACCGGUGGCGAAGGCGGCAACCUGGUCCUUUACUGACGCUGAGGCGCGAAAGCGUGGGGAGCAAACAGG
rnacentral:rRNA from 1 species